rnacentral:rRNA from 1 species
UACGAGGGGGCAAGCGUUGUUCGGAAUUAUUGGGCGUAAAGGGUGCGUAGGCGGUCUGACAAGUCUGAUGUGAAAUCUCCAGGCUCAACUUGGAGUCUGCACGAGAAACUGCCGGGCUUGAGUGUGGGAGAGGUGAGUGGAAUUCCUGGUGUAGCGGUGAAAUGCGUAGAUAUCAGGAGGAACACCUGUGGCGAAAGCGGCUCACUGGACCACAACUGACGCUGAUGCACGAAAGCUAGGGGAGCAAACAGG